rnacentral:rRNA from 1 species
UGAGGGGAACCGCCUGAACUGAAACAUCUAAGUAGGGCGAGGAAGAGAAAUCAACUGAGAUUCCGUAAGUAGUGGCGAGCGAACGCGGAAGAGGCCAAACCUAAUGUAGUAAUAUGUUAGGGGUUCGGACAGUAUAAUGAAUUGUCGAGAUUUAGCCGAAUGUCAUGGGAAGGGCAAUCAAAGAUGGUGAAAAUCCAGUAGGCGAAAAGUUAAGACAUCAGACUGUAUCCAGAGUACCGCCGGACACGUGAAACCCGGUGGGAAUACGGGGGGACCAUCCUCCAAGCCUAAAUACUACUCGGUGACCGAUAGAGAAGAAGUACUGUGAAGGAAAGGUGAAAAGCACCCCGGAAGGGGAGUGAAAGAGAACCUGAAACCUUGUGUUUACAAGCACCGAAAGUUCAUCAACGAACGAUCGGGUACCUUUUGUAGAAUGGUCCGGCGAGUGAAUGUAACUGGCAAGGUUAAGCACUUAAGGUGUGAAGCCGUAGCGAGAGCGAGUCUGAAAAGGGCGCAUGAAGUCAGUUGUAUUCGACCCGAAACCGGGUGACCUACCCAUGUCCAGGCUGAAGUGCAGGUAAAACUUCAUGGAGGGCCGAACCGACUCCCGUUGAAAUGGUAGCGGAUGAGGUGUGGGUAGCGGAGAAAUUCCAAUCGAACCCGGAGAUAGCUGGUUCUCUCCGAAAUAGCUUUAGGGCUAGCCUUGGAACAGAUUACUGGAGGUAAAGCACUGAAUUGGCUAGGGGCCGAGAGGUUACUGAACCUUAUCAAACUAAGAAUGCCAGAUAAUCGUUUUCCAGGAGUCAGACAGUGGGAGAUAAGUUUCAUUGUCAAAAGGGAAACAGCCCAGACCUACAGCUAAGGUCCCAAAGUAUAGUUAAGUGGAAAAGGAUGUGGAAUUGCAUAGACAACCAGGAUGUUGGCUUAGAAGCAGCCACUCAUUAAAAGAGUGCGUAAUAGCUCACUGGUCGAGUGAUUCUGCGCCGAAAAUUUAACGGGGCUAAACUAUACACCGAAGCUUAGGAUACCGCAAGGUAUGGUAGGAGAGCGUUCUGUACGGAGUGAAGUCGUAGCGAAAGCGGCGGUGGACUGUACAGAAGUGAGAAUGCCGGAAUAAGUAGCGAGAAUUAAGUGAGAAUCUUAAUGGCCGAAAGUCUAAGGUUUUUGGAGGAAGGUUCGUCCGCUCCAAGUAAGUCGGGAGCUAAGGUCAGGCCGAAAGGCGUAGCCGAUGCACAAACGGUUGAUAUUCCGUUACCGUCUACAAUUUAAACAAAGGGACACAUACAAAGCGUUUAACCCGGGCGAUGGUUGACCCGGGCGCAAGGGACUGAAAUAAGAGUAGGGAAGUAAAUGUGGCGUAUGGCGAGAAAAGCUUUGUGUAUAGAAGUAGACGCCCGUACCGCAAACCGACACAGGUGGACAGGAAGAGAAUUCUAAGGCCAGCGGGAGAAGGGUAGUUAAGGAACUCGGCAAAUUGACUCCGUAACUUCGGAAUAAGGAGUGCUCGAAAGAGCCGCAGAGAAUAGGCCCAGGCGACUGUUUAGCAAAAACACAGGUCUCUGCUAAAUCGAAAGAUGACGUAUAGGGGCUGACACCUGCCCGGUGCCGGAAGGUUAAGAGGAGAUGUGAGAGCAUUGAAUUGAAGCCCCGGUAAACGGCGGCCGUAACUAUAACGGUCCUAAGGUAGCGAAAUUCCUUGUCAGGUAAG